AAGCUGCAUCGGCAGCGCCUCCAUAUAGUCGUCUCUUUCUUUCUUUCUUUCUCUUUCUCUUUCUCUCUCCCUCUCUCUCUCUCUCUCUCUCUCUCUCUAUCGAACACGAGCUCUUCCACGUAGGGAGGAAGAGCAGGAAGGUAGGAGCAAGGAUGCCCGAACCAAGCAAAAGAGAGAUAGAGACUUGGUGAUCGAAGGGGCAUGAGGAGAGGCGCAGCAACACGAGUACUGAGAGAGUACUACGAGCAGCUCGACUCGUAUACUCGUGAUCUCUCUAGCGGGUGUCCCGGAUUGAUCGACGCCGUUCCGCCUACCGGGUGGUCCUUUUCUUCAUUUCAGAGAUCACUCGAAUUCAAGAUAGGUCAACGUUCUACGUUAACUCUUAAUUAUCUCAAAAAGAAAAAAAAAAAAAAAACUAUAUCAUGACGCUUAUUGCAUCUUGACGAUCUCAAUAAUUUGGGAAUAUGAAUUCGCAAAUGAUUUUAAAUGCAUGUAGACGCUCAAGAGUGGAUCGUUAUUUAUAAGAAGUUAUCCUUCGAUCAAAGGAUAAUUACAAUUCUCUUGCUUUAAAGUAAAAGAAAAAAAAGAAAAAAAGAAAAAAGAAAAAAAAGGGAAAAAAAGCAAAAGAAUAAAAAGGAAAAGGAAAAAAAAGGAAAGAAAGAAUAAAAUUCUUGAGCGUUUGAAAAUCCUUGCGCGUUGAAGGUGCUGCUACCUAGGGGGAGACGCGGAAAGCGUGACGUUACGCUUAUUUCCCGUGGCGGGAAAAUGCUAGUUGAAAUACCGGAAGAAGAAAUAAGAGGACUGUCUGCCCUGUUAUGAUCUUCGCGCUUGAAUCGUACAAAAAGUGGUCGUUAAGACGUUGACUGUUUGCAAUGGUCUACCUUGCAACCAUGCUAAAAAAGUAAUUGGUUAAUAACAUCCAAGCGCGUUGCUGUCAAGCACAAGAUUAUUACUGGAUUAUUACAAUCUAUAUAACUCUCGCGAGCGAGCGCGGGCAUUUUCGAAAAAGUCAUCACGAUAUACCGGAAUGAAUCGGUCCUUUCGUUCCGUAUACUCACAGUUUUCUACAUCUCGAAGAUAUGUCCUUCGUAUGUAAGAGAACUUUCGUCUUAUUUAUUUAAUUACAUAUCCAUUUACGCAUUAUACGGACAUAUUUCUCGAUCACCUUUCGACGAGGUCAAGAGUACGUGCUCAAGCGCGAACGAACUCGUCGAAUCGGUAAAAGAGUAGAAGAAGAAGAAGAAGAAGAAGAAGAAGAAGAAGAAGAAGAAUAAGAAAUCUCAGGGGAUCCUGAGGACGCCUCGUGUCUCGCGUUCCGUGUAAAAGCUUUUUACUCAGAGGUUACAAGGAGCUGGGCUGGUAGGGCGAUCGCGGCUGUCCUUUCGGUUGAGAAAAACGGUUUCUUGGACAAAGGAAAUCCCAAGCAUCCUUUUUCUCUUUCUCUCUCUCUCUUUCCUUAGCCCCAGUAUUCUCAUUGAACCAUUUGGUGCGUUUACGUGUCUCCUCUAUACUCGAUGUGUGUGAGUGGGGCCAAUAAAAAUUUGGCCCUCAUUUCCAAAGGCAGAAGUGCGCAAUCGAACGCUUAGGUACAGGCGCAGGUAACGGCUUUAAGGAAGCUUCUUUAAUUUCUCGUCCUUGCGAGCCACCCUGUGUGCAUUGUGCACGAUCAAACUAUGCUAGGUUCCUAAGGAGGAGGCUAGGUAGAGCGAGAAACGAGUGUGAGAGAGGAAGAGUGAGAAGAAAAAGAGAAAGACAGAGAUAGAGACAGAGAGAGACAGAGAGAAAGAGAGAGAGAGAGAGAGAGAGAGAGAGAGAGAGAGAGAGAGAAAGAGAAGGGUAAAGGAGUGGUGCGCGCGCGCGCAAGGGAAGGCUUGCGUAGGGGUGGAUCGCGGAGGUGGCAACGGUGGGGAGAAAAAGGGGAAUCCAACGAGAGGGGAAGAGGUUAAAGGAGAGGGGAUCAGGCGCGACGUCGAUGAGAAGGUCACGCAACGUAGUCGCCACAGUAUUUAAAUAAUGUAUUAUUUCUAUCUGGGCGCCUCCGUGAGUAUCCUACGGCGCAUAGUCGAGGUGGGGAACGUGCCAGAGUCGAUGGAGGAGAAGAAGAGAGCGUCUCUGAGAUCCGCGGACUCGAAUUCCACUGUGUGCUCUCCUCGCUCCCUCCUUGCUCCUUCUCUGGUGCCAAGGGGAAACGAAAGAAAGUGAGAGAUAUAAAACGAUCGGAGAGAAUCCAACGAAGAAAGAACACUCCUCUGGCUUAUGGAAAUAACUGGCUCGUUCUUGUUCCACGAGUAUUUUUAAGGAUAAUGUUUGAAAUCCAAAAGACAUUUUACUAUUGAUAGGUCUGAUAGGAAAAACUCAUAAUGUAAAAAAGAAACAAUAGAAGUUCAUCUGUACUAGCAGCAGUAGCAGCAGUAGCAGCAACAACAACAAAAACAACAAUAAUAACAAGAGCAACAACAACAAUAACAGAGACGAUGAUGACGACAGUGGCGUCGACACAGUCGUGAGUCAGACAUCGAUGAUAUACGUCUAAGGCAAUCCAUAGGGAUUCUUUCUUCGUGACUCGCCGCCGUCGUUGUCGUCUUGGAGGCCUCAAGCGGGGGCAGUCCUCAUCGUAGAAGCCGCUUAGAAAUCAGUGUGCGAUGCAGAAACGCGCGAUUUGUAGGCAGACGGGCGCAUAAGCGAUCGCAUAAGUGCUACUCGCGUACAUACAUACAUAUAUACAUACAUAUAUGCAUGCAUGCAUGCGUAUGUACUUAUAUACAUACAUACAUACAUACAUACAUACAUACAUACGUAUGUACAAACAUAUAUGCAUGCAUCCAUACAUACAUUGCUCGCUUGCAUGCACGUGAGAGCACCAAUCUUCCUGCCUUCUUCUUCGUUUCGUUGCGUUGUGUUGCCUUUUCUUGGUUGGUAGCCUCGCCACGGCUACCAUCACGUCGCUGGUGGUCAACGAAGCUUCGCGAUACGCAAUACAACACGCUCUGGUCCUCGAACCUUCCAUGAUGCGAAAGGGGAAAGCGAGUCCAAGUGUUUCUAACUUCUUUCGGUUUGCUUAUUUGCUUUCGCAAAUAGUCUUAAGAAAGGGAAGAAUCCUGUUUAUCGGUUUAAUCUAGUGAAAUUAGUUUAUCCAAACAGGAUGAUUUCGUAAUGCAUGUAACUAUUAAGUAGUUGGAAACUUGUAAAACGUAAUUACUAAUCGAUAGAGGAAAUAACAAAAAGAUGAUCGCGAUAAGAGAGAGAGAGAGAGAGAGAGAGAGAGAGAGAGAGAGGGAGAGAGAGAGAGAAAGUAAACGCUCUAGAUGUCCGAGGAGAGUGAAAGAUCCUGUCUGUGAGAGUUGGAGCUCUCUUUCGUGAGAGAGCCUAACCGAGCUAAACGUUCUCAAGGAAACAAAGUAGGAGCUCGUAUUUCGCGGCUCACUACCUUAUAUUUUUCUCCCCGCUUGGAUCCACUUGUCAAGCGUCCCCCGAAUCGAAUCGUUCUUUAUCCUUUCACUAUGACGCAUUGUCUUGCUAUACAUAGGAUGAAAGUUUAAGGAAAGGCGGUAUUGAGUCGACUGUACAUUCUAAUGUAAUAACUUCCGGUAUUUCGAUCAUCCGCAGUGUUCCAUCAACGACAACAAGUACCUUAGCUUAGAAAUGACACUACACAUUGGUGAUACAUAGAGCCAAGAAGACUCGUGCAGUUAUCUAAACGUUAUCUAGAUAAUCGAUUUCGCCAUCUGCAAACACUAGUGUUAACAUUGAUUGCGGAGGGUGAUCAAUACCCCGAGUAGAGAGGUACGGCUAUCACUCGUGCCAUAAGGGUUCUAUUUUCCCUUGUGGAGGCGCAGAAAGAGAGAGAGACAGAGAGAGAGAAAGAGAGAGAGAGAAAGAGAGAAAGAGAUAUGGAGAAACAAGGGUGUUGAGGGGUAGGGAAGAGGGGAUGGGAGAAGGGAGAGGAGCGCACGCCACGCCAUGCCGUGCCACGCGACACGUGAACCUCCGCUAACAGUGGACAAUGAAAUUACUUCGGCGUGUAUCGCAUGGUAUUGAUCCGUUCUCUCUCUCUCUCUCUCUCUCUCUCUCUACCUAUCUAUCUAUCUCUAUCUCUCUCUAUCUAUCUAUCCCUAUCUCUCUCUAUCUAUCUAUCUAUCCAUCUAUCUAUCUAUCUAUAUAUCUAUAUAUCCCUCUUGCUCACUCACUCACUUUCUGCAUCUCUCGCCUUCCCCAUCUCUACUUUCUCUAUCUUCGUCCGGGUUUCGAAGCCUCGGUAGAACAUUUUCUAGUUAUACAUUUUUUUUCCUUCCUCCCCCAUCCUUUAUAUUCUCGACGUGCUGAAGCUUGGAUUAGCUUUUGACAGAGCACAAUCGAGAGGUCAAAUGUAAUGAAAAUAAGAGUAUACGCGUAUUGUCGUAAUACUCAUGUCGUCGGUACUUAUAUUCUAUGUGUGAUAAGUAAAAGAAGAAAAGAGAAUAAGAGUUGUGAAACACCUACGCCUCAACAUUGCAACGUUCUGAGUUAUGAGACAGCCUAGUUUAUUAGCUUCGGGGAGGCGCUGCAUUCUCUCCCGCCCGAACUGUGACCGACGCUCGCGCGCGCGGGACCUAAUGUCGUAGUACAAGUAAUCCCCCACCCCCUGUUCAACCAAUAGGAGACACUUCACGGUGAUUUCGUGCUUGACUCGGUCGGUAAAGACGGUUCCCCGAUCAUUUAGAGCGUGGACAGGCAACAGAAGCGCGCGCGCGCGCGCGCGCUCCCGAACGUGGCGCUAAAGCGAAAUCCUCGUGGUUGUUAGUAGUGUAGUAAAAGAGAAAGAGAGAAAGAGGCAUUCGCCGGCUUUAUAUUUGCGUGUGGCGUUUAAAUAAAGUAGACUCGAUUUAUGUCACAUCCGCUAUCGGUUGGACUCAUCGAUCACGCGCGUUACACCGCGGCCGACGUUUAUGUGACUCCACGGAUUGGAUUUAUCGUACAAACGAAUUCCAAUCUACCUUUGGAAUUGGUCGGCGGAGUGACUUUUGAAAGCCCGAUACGCUCUCGAGAUAGAUAAAUUCUCGUCUCGAAAUCGCUAGGUUCGCCCGGUGACACUGUAUACAUUCAAAAGCGACGUCUUGUCCUUCUAUACGUUCACUCUGAUAAUACCUUGUACACGAUUCCAUUAUCGUCUCCCUUAUCGAAUCGGCAAGUUAUCAUCAGAGUAAAUUAAUUACUCAUACUCUGGGGAAUCCUUUGGAAUAGGGCCUAGUCUCUCUCGAUCAACACGCUAUCGUGUUUCCUCUCCGCAUAUUCACACAGUUAUUUAGCAGAUUAUAUUACCCAAUUAUAAAAAUAUAUAAAUGGAACAUUGUCUCGAUCGUACAUAAGUAUUUCUAAUUGGGUGGACACUUUCGAAAUUGUAACGUUAAAUAUUUAAGAGCCUCAUCAGUUCUUGAAGUUCAUUAGCGAUUUCGAAAAGGAAGGAGAGGCUUACCGAGAUAAUGUCGAAAUUUAACGAGGACGCGUAUAAUGUAGGUGUCUCUCUUUUGUGCCGUGUCGUAAUUUGUCGCGGGCGCACAAAUUGCAAGUUGCGAAUGCAACGAAUAAGAGACAUAUAUAUGCAUACAUAUACAUAUAUGUAUGUAUGCAUGUAUGUAUGUAUGUAUAUUUAUUUUAAAUGUAUGAGCCAGAGGACGGUGGCAGCAUGCGCGCGCACAAACAUAUAUCUCAUAGAUACCGCACAGAGGAGGAGAGUAGAUCUCAGAAAUCCGUGUCGACUCUCAGAGAGAGAGAGAGAGAGAGAGAGAGAAGAAUAAGAAUAAGAAGAAAAAGAAGAAGAAGAAGCCGACGCCAUAGCGGCACCUCGACCCAAUACGACUUACGCGUAUACCUUUGAGAAAUAAUUAGAAACCGAUAUGUACCACUACCGUAACGACUGUCACUGACUCUGCGUAACACACUUUAUAUUCAGCAUUCUCGAGACGAUUGAGGAGUAGGAGGAAGAAGAGGGAUGUAAGAUGAGGGGAGGAGAAGGGGUGAGGAGGACGACGAAUGUCUGUCUGACUUACUCUUUCUCGUAACGUUCCGUUAUUCGGCGCGUUGACUUUCGCACCCGGACCUCGCCUUCUUUUCCUUCGAUCAACGUUUUAACGAUUCGUUGCAUUUCGUAUAAAGUAAAAUAAGACAGAUAUAACCUCGAUCGAUAUCUCACCUCGAUAUAUCCUUCGGUAGUUAAGUAAGUUGAUUCACUUAGUACCUAGACUACAGGCGCACGCUUAUAAUAAGUUAUCUGCCCUAUCGCAUAUACAUGUGUCACGAUACCAUAGACUUCGAAAUGAAGUGGCACGUUGUUCGAAAGAUAUCGAGAGAGAGGCAGAGAGAGACAGAGAGAGGUAGAGGGGGGGUGGGAGAGAGAGAGGGAGAUAUGCGUAGUAUCUUCUUGGCAAGGAAGAUUUUUCGGAGGUCGAAUCGAAGUCUCGAAAGAAAGGAGCUGUGGAAAGAGAGAAAGAGGAUCGAGAUAAAGAGAGAGACGAUCGAAGGUUUCCGCUUCGAUGCGGCAGGUGGUAGACUCGGGUUGGUUGUUGGGAUCGGGACUCGGUAGGACUCGAGCGAUUAUCGAGAGCCGUAGUACGGCCACGCCACUGAAAACGAGGAACAAGACCAAAAACUGUGAGUUCUCGGGGCAGACAGACGGGGCCCGUUGCGGGCUUCAUCUUGUUGGGUUGCGUCGUGGGCCGACCCCGUAAGGUACAUCGCCGUUCGGCAAAAGCUUCUACCAAAGAGAAUAACAAAAAGGAAGGAAGGAAGAAAGAAAGAAAGAAAGAAAGAAAGAAAGAAGGAAAGAAAGAUGGCGUUCGCGUGGGAGAGAGAAAACGGUUGAAAGAAAAGGCAAACAAGCGAGAUAAAGUCGGUUGAACGGUGAUGAGUUUCGUGGAAGGAACCGACGAAGAGAGUGAGGGAGAGAGAGAGAGAGAGAGAGAGAGAGAGAGAGAGAGAGAGAGAGAAGGAGAAAGAUAGAAAAAGAAAAGGAAGAAG